CUUUUUCGUAUGAUGGCCGCCAUGCCUGCUCGGUGGCCAUCUUUAAAUUUGGAUAGUGCUUGGCCUCAGCAGCACACAGGUCGAAACCAGCAUUCCUCCUGUGUGCUCUAGUGUUUGUUGCAUUGCGAUGGGUUAAUGUGCCCCCAUUACAGCUUCUACUUCCCAACCACAGCCCUAUACCCCUAUUACAGACCCUAUUAUUCCACCACAGUCCAUAAUUUCCCAUUAUAGCCCUCAAUACCCUUCACAGCCCCUAUUCCCCUACUAAACCCCCCCCCCCACACACAAUAUAGUCCUUACCCCAAUUACAUCCCAUGUACCCCAUUACAGCCCAUAUUCCCCCUCUAUAGACCCUAACCCCCACACACAUUAAAACCCUGACGCCAAUAACAUCCCCUUUACACUUUUACAUCCCAUAUUCCCCCACUAUAG